rnacentral:misc_RNA from 1 species
GAUGAAGAACGUAGCGAAAUGCGAUAAGUAAUGUGAAUUGCAGAAUUCAGUGAAUCAUCGAAUCUUUGAACGCACAUUGCGCCCCUUGGUAUUCCGGGGGGCAUGCCUGUUCGAGCGUCAUUAUAACCCCUCAAGCUCAGCUUGGUGUUGGGGCCUGCCGACUGGCAGCCCUUAAAAUCAGUGGCGGCGCCAUCUGGCUCUAAGCGUAGUAAUUUCUCUCGCUAUAGAGUCCCGGUGGAUGCUUGCCAGCAACCCCCAACUUUCUAUGGUUGACCUCGGAUCAGGUAGGGAUACCCGCUGAAUUUAAGCAUAUCAAUAAGCGGAGGA